AGAUUGAACGCUAGCGGGAUGCUUUACACAUGCAAGUCGAACGGCAGCGCGGACUUCGGUCUGGCGGCGAGUGGCGAACGGGUGAGUAAUAUAUCGGAACGUGCCCAGUAGCGGGGGAUAACUACGCGAAAGCGUGGCUAAUACCGCAUACGCCCUACGGGGGAAAGGGGGGGAUUCUUCGGAACCUCUCACUAUUGGAGCGGCCGAUAUCAGAUUAGCUAGUUGGUGAGGUAAAGGCUCACCAAGGCGACGAUCUGUAGCUGGUUUGAGAGGACGACCAGCCACACUGGGACUGAGACACGGCCCAGACUCCUACGGGAGCAGCAGUGGGGAAUUUGGACAAUGGGGGAACCCUGAUCCAGCCAUCCCGCGUGUGCGAUGAAGG
rnacentral:rRNA from 1 species